CGAACGCUGGCGGCAGACCUAAUACAUGCAAGUCGAACGGCUCUUCGGAGCAGUGGCGGACGGGUGAGUAACGCGUGGGAAUGUGCCCUUAGGUACGGAACAACACAGGGAAACUUGUGCUAAUACCGUAUGUGCCCUUCGGGGGAACGAUUUAUCGCCUUUGGAGCAGCCCGCGUUGGAUUAGGUAGUUGGUGAGGUAAAGGCUCACCAAGCCGACGAUCCAUAGCUGGUCUGAGAGGAUGACCAGCCACACUGGGACUGAGACACGGCCCAGACUCCUACGGGAGGCAGCAGUAGGGAAUCUUGCGUAAUGGGCGAAAGCCUGACGCAGCCAUGCCGCGUGUAUGAUGAAGGUCUUAGGAUUGUAAAAUACUUUCACCGGGGAAGAUAAUGACGGUACCCGGAGAAGAAGCCCCGGCUAACUUCGUGCCAGCCGCCGCAGUAA
rnacentral:rRNA from 1 species